CUACUAGGGUAUCUAAUCCUGUUUGCUCCCCACGCUUUCGCACCUCAGCGUCAAUACUUGUCCAGUCAUUCGCCUUCGCCACUGGUGUUCUUCCGAAUAUCUACGAAUUUCACGUCUACACUCGGAAUUCCAGUGACCUCUCCAAGAUUCUAGCUAACCAGUUUCAGAGGCAGUUCCGGAGUUGAGCUCCGGGAUUUCACCCCUGACUUAAUUAGCCGCCUACGCGCGCUUUACGCCCAGUAAUUCAGAACCCCGCUAGCUCCCUCCGUAUUACCGCCGCUGCUGGCAC
rnacentral:rRNA from 1 species